UGCAACUUCUAAGAAAUGGUAGUAACAGCUGACAGUAUUACUGAUUUGAAAGAAUAUUGAAAUAACAAGGACAUAAUGAACAAUUUGAUGUUUCUUGUCUUUUGUUUGGUCAUUGUUGUUUACUCAAAUCCAUACCAGAAUGGUGGACAUUAUACUGGCUAUGUUGGAUGCUUUGUGGACGACGCCAACAGACUGUUAAAGCACAAGAUACGGUUUUUACAUCAUAUUUCAUUGGCAAAAUGCAGACAUCACUGCUGGGGGUACAAGUAUCUUGGAUUACAGGCUCGUGAUUUCUGUCUCUGUGGAAACUCCCUAUACAGGCCAGCGUAUCCACAAGCAUCCGAAUUACAAUGUAACUCUCCUUGUGCAGGGGAAAAUAAUAGGAUGUGUGGCGCAGAUUGGAGAAAUUCCAUAUACAAAGUUUGAUUGCGUUAACAAAGAAACACAGACAGCAUAUUACAGAUAAACUGCAUCGUCGGAAAUGAAAUAUCUAAAUCAUAGAACUUUAUUUUAUUAUCAUGUUAUAACAUGUAGAAUCAAAAUAAAUCAUACCUACAAUCAAGGAU